UUUUUAUUAUGGUAGGAGAAAUCACUUUGUUUCUUUUUAAAAAUCAAAAGAAACUUUGUGUAUUUAAUGUAUAUGUUAUGUACAUAUGAACAAUGCCUAUUUAUAUAUAUGCUCACAUAUAUGUAGAUAUGCACAAUAUCUAUAUAGAAACACAUGAAUACACAUUAUAAUUUGUUUUAUACAGAAUGUUAAAUCUAUACAUGUCAAUAGAAAACAACUAUCAAUAUGAUAUAAUAGAUUUUAUUUAUAGCCAUAACUAUGUCUAUCAAUAUCAUCUAUUUAUGUUAUAGUCCCAUUUAUUUCUUCAUGUGUCUAUGUAUAUUUAUAAAUGAGAGAGAGAAGAGAGACUAUCCAACUAACCAUUUGUCUCAGCAUUGUAUGAACUCAGAUUUUUGGGUUCAUGAUUCAUUGGUCUGAAGUUAUCUAACUAUAAAAUAGAAAUAGUAUGGUUCCUAUUCCUGACCUUGUUUUGAAAAUAUAUAUUUUAUUGUGGUAUAUGAAUAUUAUGGAAUAUUAUUGUUCUAUAAGAUAUGACCAGCAGGAUGAUUUCAGAAAGGCCUGGAGAGACUUAUAUGAACUGAUACUGAGUGAAAUGAGCAGGAUCAGAAGAUCAUUAUAUACUUCUACAACAAUAUUAUAUGAUGAUCAAUUCUGAUGGAUGUGGCCCUCUUGAACAAUGGAUGAACCUCAGUUCCAAAGGACAGUAAUGGCUGAAUCAAACUAUAUUCAACAAAAAGAUUUCUAGGUGAUGACUAAAACCACUUAAAAUUCCUAAUCCCUCCUAUUUAGGUCCACCGUUUUUGAUUUCCUUCACAGGCUAUUUGUACACUAUUUCCAAAGUCCGAUUCUUUUUUGUACAAAAAUAACUAUUUGGAACAUGUAUACAUAUUUUCAUAUUUUGAAAUUUAAUACUUUAACAUAUUUAACAUGUAUUGGUCAACCUGCCAUCUGGGGCAAGGGGUGGGGGGAAAGAGGGGAAAAGUUGGAACAAAAGGUUUUGGAAUUGUCAAUGCUGAAAAAUUACCCAUGCAUAUAUCUUGUAAAUAAAAAGCUAUGAUAAAAAAUUAAAGAAAAUACAUAUUUUAUUUGUACUUGAUGCAUAUGAAGUAAACAUUUCUAUAACAAAAUACAAUGAAAAAGAUCAUUUCAUGUGAAACUGAAAAUCUACCAUAAAAAACUUGCUCUUCCUGUAAAAAAUUUAACAAAAAUAUUAUGUAUAUUUUCUUCAUUCUCCCCUACCUUAGAGAUGGAUACCAUUAGACACAAAUAAGCACUUAUAAAUAUGUGUAUGUAUAGAUGUGUGCAUUGUAUACACAAAUGUUUGCAUAUUUAUUAUUAAUGGGUAUUCCCACAUCCUUAACACUUCUUUCUCUGCUUGCAGAUAUCUAUCUGCCUACAUCCUUCAUAGUUAAUUUGGGUACUUAUAACAGACAAAAUGGCUUACUUAUGUCUCCUAUUUUCUGAACCAUCAUUAUUCCAAACACACCUAUUACUGGGACAGUUGAUCCAGACAAAAUAGUUUAUGAGCAAAUUAUUAUGAAGUAUGUUAUUAAUAUAGAAGUAUAAUAUAAAUACACAUAUAAAAAUAAAUUCUCUGACAAAAAUAUUUUAAAUGGAUUAAUGGAUGUGGUGAUAGCUCCUGGAUCCAUAUAUAAAGUUUCUAGAAUUAGAGUUGUAAAAGUAAGAAAGCAUGAGCUAAUAAAUAUUCAUUAAAUGCUCACUAAGUGCAAAAUUCUAUGUUUCUAAGCAUUCAGGAGACAAAGCAUAUACAAAAUAACAAUGAAAAGACUUAUUUUUGCCUACUACAGAUCAUACUCUAUUAAUAGAAAACACAAACAAUUGUGUGCAUACAAGAUAUGUGCAGGGAAAUUUUGAAGCAAUCUGAAAAGGUUCUAAGCAGGACAUACAGAAAGAUCUGUUGCAAAAAGAUGAGAUCUGAAUUGAGACUUGAAAUAAGAGAGGAGCUGGAGAUGAGAAGAAAGAGCAUGACAUGUAUUGAGAACCAGACAAUUUAAAGAAAAAUACUCAGUCAUUUAAUUAUUAUGAAUGGAAAGCUAAAAGUAAUCUUAAAACUUAAAAGUUAUAAAAUAAAUAAUAAAAAUAACCUAAUAAAACAUGCAAUAUUUUUCUCAUUUUAAGAGAAAACUACCAGUGCUUAGAAAACUGAUAUGACUGGAACAUAUAGAAGUCAAUAUUUUUGCACAUAAAAGACACAGAAAGAAAAAUGAUGGGAAGGAAUCUAUUAUGAAGGAAUUGAUUUUCCUAGAAUUUUCUCAAUUUCCCAAUAUUUAAGAUUUCUAUUUUGAAUUUUCUUAGUAACCUACAUGAGUUUCUCUAAUAGGGAAUGAUUUCCAAAUUCCUGUAUAUUUUUCCCUUGGGAAAUUUUUCUUCUUAGAAAUGUGUUAUACAUCAAUCACUCUUCCCAGAAUUCUUUCAAAUCUUUGGACAUAAAAAAGAAAUAUUUCUUUCCUAAUAACCUUCUUACUCUACUCUGCCUAUACAAUAAUUUGUCUAUACACUAUUUCAUUGUAACUCAAAAUUGAUGUUUUAUAUUAUCACUUUCAAUUCCAGAUAAAACUCUCCUUUCUAAAUCCCCAAGGUUAAUCCCAUGUAUCAA
ensembl:lncRNA